UGGGGAAUAUUGGACAAUGGGCGAAAGCCUGAUCCAGCCAUGCCGCGUGUGUGAAGAAGGCCUUUUGGUUGUAAAGCACUUUAAGUGGGGAGGAAAAGCUUAUGGUUAAUACCCAUAAGCCCUGACGUUACCCACAGAAUAAGCACCGGCUAACUCUGUGCCAGCAGCCGCGGUAAUACAGAGGGUGCAAGCGUUAAUCGGAAUUACUGGGCGUAAAGCGAGCGUAGGUGGCUUAUUAAGUCAGAUGUGAAAUCCCCGGGCUUAACCUGGGAACUGCAUCUGAUACUGGUAAGCUAGAGUAGGUGAGAGGAGGGUAGAAUUCCAGGUGUAGCGGUGAAAUGCGUAGAUAUCUGGAGGAAUACCGAUGGCGAAGGCAGCCCUCUGGCAUCAUACUGACACUCAUGUUCGAAAGCGUGGGGAGCAAACA
rnacentral:rRNA from 1 species